rnacentral:lncRNA from 1 species
GGCUCCAGGGAACGCUUUGUAAUUGAGUUUGACAAAAGUCGUGCUCGAAAAGGCAAGGUACAGCUCCGCCUGCAGGAAACGCCUCUCUACGACAUUCUCCACUACGAGGAUGCCAGGAGACGGCGUCUCGCUCCGGGAGACAGGGUCUUGGCACCGUGGGAGGCUAGAGCUGAACGUUUUGGCCCCGGCACUGUGCUGAAGGUUGUGGAGAGCAAGGAGGCACAUUUAGGUGCGGGGUGUUCUGGUUUUCUUCGUAGCGCUGGACUCACCACGGGGGCUGGUCACUGUACGGCAAAGGGAACAGUCUCCAUCCCGGAGAGUUCCCCACCUGCUGCUUGGGUUCUCUUUGCUAUAUUCGUGUUGUUGACACUAAGCAGCCUUUUCUUCAGUGUCCGAAUUAAUGCAGCUCCUAGAAUGUGUGUUUGCUUUGUUCUGUAACUGAAAACUUCCUAAAAUAUUGGGGGUUGGGCAACACAAAGCAAAAAAUGUUCCUGGCCCUCAUGAGUAUUCACCUGAUUAUCUGUUAGUCUAGUUUCCUGCUAUUUUAGGGUAAAAUCCUGCCUCACUGUGACAAGUGAGAAUUUUGUUAUCUCCUGUCUCCUCAUAGGAAGUUCAAAAGAAGGUCAGAUUUUAAACCUAUAAAGAAAAAAUAUCAUAGAAGUUGUUACAAAAUUAUCUGAAACAUGAGUCAUUACUGCUUUCUGCUGCUAAUACAUUAUUUGCCUUUUUGUUUUUGUUUUUGAUAAGCACAGCACGCAACAGAAGUGGAGUGCUUGUGAAUUUCUGGAAUGGGCAGACCAAGGAGGUGUCUUCUGACCAAGCUCUGCAGAUUCCUCUGCCCUUAAGCGAACGCAUCAUCCUAGAACUGCAGAUGCCUUUAGCAGCCAGGCAGAUGGUGGUAGAUUCAAGCUUACAUUACCCAUACAUUGUGACACCGGGUUACAGAGCCUCAGGCCACUACAGACUGGGUCACUCAGACCUGGACUGCUGGCCAGGGGGUCUGUACUCAGCUCAUCUGUGUGCUAAGUGCAGCUGGGAGUGUCCCUCGCUCCCCCGGUGCUGCCUGGCAGCCUGGGAACCCACACGGCCUGUAGGGUGCAAAGUGCAGCAGGAAAAUGCUUUCAUCCCAGGAACAGGCUUGGCUGAAGAAGUACCCAGCAAGAAAAUAGAAGAGGAACUGUCUGAAUUGAGAAUUACAUCUUCAGAAAGUGUUUCCAGAGAGGAAGAGAAAAAGGAAGAGAAGAGAUUAGAGACAGAAAAUGUUCCAAAAGACGUUUGGUCUUGUUUGGAAGAGGACAGUGAGUUUAUAGAACCUAAGAAGGGUGCUCAGAGGGAGAUGGCUCAUGCUAUGGUUGAUACUGCUGUUAACACAGACAGCUGGUUAAUGGAGACAGAUCACAAGGAGGAACCAGAGAGCAGGCAGCAGGAUGCUGAAACUGAAGCUAAUUUUAAACACCAGCAUGGUCUUUUUGAGUCCAGAGUGGCAGAAGCUCCAGUCCAGCAUUCCCUAAGGAGCCCUUCCCUGGGAACCAGUGCUUUGGUUCCUUUCAGGCGCCAAAGCUUCUUUGACCAAGUGAAUCAAUCACUAGAGAAAGACAGCCUGACCAUCAGAUCAGCUCUACGUGUACAGAGACCACACAGUACCACCAAUGUGCUGGCUAGGAGAUCCACAAAACUUCUAAGCCUUCUAAAACACAAAAGCAUUACAAAAUCAAUCCUUAAUGGUGCAUCUCAGGAGAGAUGGAAAGAGAUGGGCUUCGACAGAGCCAAGACUGAGCACAAAAGGAGGAAAGAGGAACAGAGGCAGCUGAAGAGGGAGCAGCAGCAAGAGGCAGAUGGCAUCCAGCACCAGCUGCACAAGGACAACCAGAGGCAACAGUUGCGUCAGAGAACAUUGCAAGGGCUGGAGAAACAGCUGGAGCACAAAGAGAGAGCUUUGCAGCACAUGGCACUGCUCCAGGCUGCUGGGGCUGAGAGGAGCAGGAAGGAAUCCUCCUUUCAAGAGGAGGGGAAGAGGAAGGCAAGUCAGAGGCUUCAGUUCUUAAAGACACAGAGUUCACAGAGAGAGGAGUUGCAGGCAGAAUGCAAUGAAAGGAGCUUUGAACAAGAGAAAGAAAGGCUGGAGUUUCUGAGGAGUUUCUGCAGUCACAGCAGGAAAUGUUGGAACAAGAACCACGGGAGCAGGACGAGCAACAAAACCAGCACCAGGCUGCCAAAGUGAGAGUGUUCCAGAGCGGAGACCGAAGAUCGGAAGAUGGAAAAAGAAGACCAAAAAAUCCGUGACCUCCAGCAGUACCUCGGAGAACAGUCCCCUUUGCUGCUUCGGGCAUCCCUGCUAGUGUAAGGAAGCUGCAGAGUAGGGGAGAGGCCCUCAAGCAGUUCACACACCUGGUCUUUGUCUUGUAGGUGUGACUCAGUGUGACUCAGUGUGCUACAGUUGUGACAAGUGGAAUUACAAUUCCCGGAGAGGUCUUUAAUCUCCCUUUCAUUGCAGCCAGAGUGCAUGUCCACUGCUCUGUGCUUUACAUGCCUUUCUUUCUGGAGUUACUAUUCUGGUUCACCAGCCUGGGCUUCAGGUAAGUACAGAUCUUCUACUGUCAGGGUGUAGGUACUGCUUGAGAUGUGCUGGCCACUCCUUUAGAGGAGGAAUGACUUUUAGAAGCCCAAAAUACAAAGUGGUGUGGGGGUUUUUGUUUGGUUGGUUUUUCUUUGGUUUUUUUAAUGACAAGCUCCCCUUUCUAGGCACUGUGAUGACAAAAAGGUCUGAUCUGUGAAAUAACUGUCUUUGGAGAGUCACCAAACCCAGCGGUGGGCUUGGGUUUCUGUUUGGCCUACAGUCUCACUGGCAGGCUGGCAGUCUCCAAAGUGGGUCAGAAAGAUGCUCGGAUACCUUUUCAGGUAUUGUAUUGCUUACAAUAACCACACCUUUUGCUCUUUGUGAAUAAAUGAGGAGAAUGUUACA